UUCAAAUGUGAAUUUUUUGAGGGAUUUUGUUUAUUUGAAAAGUAAGACAUUUUGCAUUAAUUUAAAGCAUCAUUUUCAUUCAAAUUUGUCCAUUCAUUCAUACAAAACCGUUUACAAACACAUACAAAGAAAAUUAUAAAAAAAAUGCUUCUUUGAACAAAGGUUGACUUUGGCUAACAAUUGACUUUUUGGUCAACUUUGACCAAAGUCAACCAUUUAAGACUUAAGACCUAACUCUAACUUCUUCAUCCAUCAUCCUCAUGAUCAUGUGCUUUUAAGCUUCAUGCCAAUUUUCUUCCAUGCCAUGCCACUUUCUCUUUGCACAUGAAUACCUUAAAAGGGCAAAACAAAGCCAUAAGUAUUGUCUUCAAGUUUAAAACAUGACUUUCCAAGGCAACCAUGACAUGUCAUUCAAUGGCAAUGUAAUAUCAACACCAUUGAUUUAGUAGUAGUAACAUUGACAUAGCUUAACAUUUUAACAAACUCAUAACAUUCAUUUCAUAACCAUCCUUGAAUUUGCUACCACUAACUUUUUCUUAACAUGAACAAACCAUUUCCAAUUUAUAACUAUGCAUGGACCAAAGCAAAUCGAAACUAACAAUUAAUCAUAAUUUCAGUUUUCAUAAUAAUGCAUUCAUCAACCAUUCCAAAACAUGACAAGUGCACCAAAACUAGGAACCAAAAGACUUCAAAAUCGCAAAUAAAGUUUCUAUGUGAUUACCUUACCACUAAGCUUGGGGAUUUUUUUGCCUUCUACUAUUGCUGCCCCUUUCAACAUAAUGUAUAUCCGUGGACUUCAUCAUUCAACAAUGUAUGAAUCACUAGUUCCAUGACCUACUGUCAGAAUCAAACAGAGAAAGCAAUUUAGCAUGAUCAUUACCAUCAUUUUCAUAGAAUUUUAGUCAUGACAAGAAUCAUGUUAGGGUUUCUAAUUUGCUAGCAGCAUUUAACAAGAACAACAGUUAAUUCGGUAUCUCAAUGCAGAGCUAAACCAACUCACUUCAGACCCAUAACAAAGUCAAUUAAUCACCAAAAACUAACUUCUAAUUUAACUAAUUCUGAGUUACAUGUCAACCUACCUACUAACCAAUUAACCAAUACCUACUGGAGUUCCACAUAACUGACAUAUUGACCUACAAAUAAACUAAUAUUAAUCAGUUUUCUAAUUGAACUAACAAGCUCAAACACUAACCCUACAGAACCAAUGGAUGAAAUAUAACAGAAAAUUCAAAAGAUUUCCAACGACACAUUCAUGUAACAAGGCUCAUUGCAGCUCACCAUUAGUUAACCUGGGUGUAGCGAUACAUAAUCUUUUCAUCCUAACCUAAACUAACUUAUUCCAAUUGCAAAUAACAGAAAUCCUGAAUUUAUAACUAACAUUACAUUUCAUGUGAAUUUCAUCUAAAUUUCUGACAUGCUUGGGGCUCUAUAUAAGCGUACCUUCACUGUAAUUUUGGGAGGGGAUUCAUUAUUCAGAUUUCAUUUCAAACUCUUCCAAAAGCUCUGAGAGUUCUGAUUCGUUCUUCACUCUCACUUUUCAUUCAUACAAGCAAAUUGAAUCUUCAGUCUUCUUGGAUUCAUACAUUCACACGCAGAAUCCUCUUCAUACAGGCACCAGAAACACACGAAUCACGUCACAUCAAAGGGAGAUCGAAGAAGAUUCAAGAAGAAGGAAUCGAAGACGAAUGAUUACCUCGUGGAGCACCGAGAAGCCGCUGUGCUUGAACGCUGCUUCGGUACACUUUAACCUUAUUGAAUUUAUCUCCUACUUGCAUUUCGUUUUGAGUUGGUGAUGGCGUGUUUGAGUUUUGGCGGAUUCUUCACGGCGUGUUCGGAAUUUGAGAUCUGAGCUUCAAUUCAGAUUCACGUAUUCGUUGCAACCUUCAACGAUUUGGAAAACUCAGGAGUAUGUUCUUUGAUUUGGAGUUUCAUAACUUGAAUCCAGAAUGCGAAGGAGAAUGAAGAACGCGAUGCUGAAUAUUGGAACGUGAUACUGACUUUUUCAUAUGAGCGCCUUUGUUCUUCAGCUUGGUGAACUUUCCCAUUUUGUAGCUUGGAUUAGGUUUGGUCCUAAGGCUUAAACGAUUUGUUCUAUGCACACACUUGCCAUGGACCUACAACUCCCUAGAGCGACCGCGCUUGGCUGGACAUGUGGCCCAUUCUGAAUCCCUCAUGGAACCCCUUUUUUGGCAACUGUUCAGCGCUUGGGCUUUGAGCUCCAGGCCCAAACGUUUUUGCUGGCUAACACCCACAUUCCAAACGCAU
rnacentral:lncRNA from 1 species